rnacentral:lncRNA from 1 species
CAACAACUGCUAGGACACAGACGCCAACAGUUGCGCUCACUCAGCUACGCAGAAUGUCCCCAGCAAGCACUGCUGCUGCAAAUGGGCCACGGACGCCAACAGUCACGGUGGGGGGAAGAACCCCUACGCUAUCCAGCACACAGUCCUUGGCAUGCACUCCUGCCACAGACAAGCUUCACUCACCAACAUUUAUGACUGGAGGGGGAGUGUCCAGCACGCCUACGGAAUGCACCCCUGCCCCAAACGGUGGGCC